CGUAUAUAUCCGCAGGCAGCUGACCACAGAAUUCCAGAAUUCUUCCCUCUUAGUGCCUGUUGACAAUACAAAGCAAUCUCUACCGCUCAGUGUAAAUGCCCGUGUUUUUCUUUGCUCUCACUUUGCAGUGUUGUUAUGCACCCAUUUCUGUCAUACUGUCAGUGCACAGUCAGAGAUCGGAGAAACAAGUUUUCCCCGACCUUUCUUUCUUGUCAUUUAUUUUUCUUGGAGAUCUGUGAAUCCUUCCCUUCCUUCUUUGUUUUUUGCAUUACUUGAGUUUCUUUAUCUGCGCUCGGUGGCCUUUAAAAAAAAUGUUUGUCGAAAAUUCGAUGGCCACACAGUGUAAGUGCGUUUUAAUCAAACUACCUAACACAUUAGUUUGUAACAAACUACUUCAAAUGACCUGCCCACGUCUACCUUGAACUAUGCUAUCUUGAGCAGUAUAACACAUUUGGACACAGUGCCCUCCAGACCUCACAUUAAUCACCAUGGGCACAUAAACACACAAUCAGUGGUAGCUCCCUUAGAGUGCCCCCUGCUGUUAGACUCACACCAAUGCCUUGGCCUUAGAACAGACAGUAGCCUUAUAUUCUCAUAGGCAAAUAAUCCCCCAGCUCUCACUCAUGCCAGCAUGACUUGUGGCCACUACUGUAAGGCUGGUUUGCCCACUCACAAACUGGGCCUUUGGGUACUUGGAGAGCCCACAUGAAGAGAGAAAGGUCAGGCUUGUGAUGCUGGCUUGUGAUGCUGGCUGUCUCCAACUCAAAAGUGUGACUUAAAAAAACAGAAACAUUAUGCACUUUUUCUUCUUUCUCUCUCUCUCUCUUCCGUUGUGUUGAGAUGUUCUGUUUGUGGUAUUACACAGAGAAAAGUAUGAACUUGAAAAAAAAAAGCACACACCACUCACACUAUUAAGGGCUUUUUUUUAAACAAUCAGAAUGUUUUGCUGCUGUUAAAAAAUGUUUGAAAUAAUCCUUUGUAAUAUUUUUUAACCACUGUGAUUUGUACAAAAUGGAACAAAACAAGUAGGAAAACAACUUUGCCGUUUCAGUAUUUUAAUGUUUGACUUGGCUUUUAUUAAAACUUAACAGAA
ensembl:lncRNA